rnacentral:rRNA from 1 species
AACGAACGCUGGCGGCAGGCCUAACACAUGCAAGUCGAGCGGGGUUUUCGGACCUAGCGGCGGACGGGUGAGUAAUGCGUAGGAAGCUACCCGAUAGAGGGGGAUACCAGUUGGAGACGACUGUUAAUACCGCAUAAUGUCUACGGACCAAAGUGUGGGACCUUCGGGCCACAUGCUAUCGGAUGUGCCUACGUGGGAUUAGCUAGUUGGUGAGGUAAUGGCUCACCAAGGCGACGAUCCCUAGCUGGUUUGAGAGGAUGAUCAGCCACACUGGAACUGAGGCACGGUCCAGACUCCUACGGGGGGCAGCAGUGGGGAAUAUUGGACAAUGGGCGCAAGCCUGAUCCAGCCAUGCCGCGUGUGUGAAGAAGGCCUUCGGGUUGUAAAGCACUUUCAGCGAGGAGGAAGGGGUGAGUGUUAAUAGUACUCAUCUUUGACGUUACUCGCAGAAGAAGCACCGGCUAACUCUGUGCCAGCCGCCGCCGUAACAC